UACAGAGGUCUCAAGCGUUGUCCGGAGUUAUUGGGCGUAAAGCGCGCGCAGGCGGCUUGGCGCGCCCGACGUGAAAGCCCCCGGCUUAACCGGGGAGGGUCGUCGGGUACGGCCAGGCUUGAGGGCGGGAGAGGGUGGUGGAAUUCCCGGUGUAGUGGUGAAAUGCGUAGAGAUCGGGAGGAACACCUGUGGCGAAGGCGGCCACCUGGGCCGACCCUGACGCUGAGGCGCGAAGGCGUGGGGAGCGAACGGG
rnacentral:rRNA from 1 species